GCCAACGUAGCUCAACGGAAGAGCGGCUGAUUUGUAAUCAGCAGGUUGGGGGUUCGAGUCCCUUCGUUGGCUCCA
rnacentral:tRNA from 1 species